UACAGGGGGGGCAAGCGUUGUUCGGAAUUACUGGGCGUAAAGGGCCAGUAGGCGGCCAACUAAGUCACACGUGAAAUCCCCAGGCUUAACCUGGGAACUGCGUGUGAUACUGGAUGGCUUGAAUUCGGGAGAGGGAUGCAGAAUUCCAGGUGUAGCGGUGAAAUGCGUAGAUAUCUGGAGGAAUACCGGUGGCGAAGGCGGCAUCCUGGACCAACACUGGCGCUGAGUGAGCGAAAGCCAGGGGAGCAAACGGG
rnacentral:rRNA from 1 species